UGGGGAAUUUUGGACAAUGGGCGAAAGCCUGAUCCAGCAAUGCCGCGUGUGUGAAGAAGGCCUUCGGGUUGUAAAGCACUUUUGUCCGGAAAGAAAUCCUUGGCUCUAAUACAGUCGGGGGAUGACGGUACCGGAAGAAUAAGCACCGGCUAACUACGUGCCAGCAGCCGCGGUAAUACGUAGGGUGCAAGCGUUAAUCGGAAUUACUGGGCGUAAAGCGUGCGCAGGCGGUUUGCUAAGACCGAUGUGAAAUCCCCGGGCUCAACCUGGGAACUGCAUUGGUGACUGGCAGGCUAGAGUAUGGCAGAGGGGGGUAGAAUUCCACGUGUAGCAGUGAAAUGCGUAGAGAUGUGGAGGAAUACCGAUGGCGAAGGCAGCCCCCUGGGCCAAUACUGACGCUCAUGCACGAAAGCGUGGGGAGCAAACAGGAUUAGAUACCCUGGUAGUCCACGCCCUAAACGAUGUCAACUAGUUGUUGGGGAUUCAUUUCCUUAGUAACGUAGCUAACGCGUGAAGUUGACCGCCUGAGGAGUACGGUCGCAAGAUUAAAACUUAAAGGAAUUGACGGGGUCAUAGCUGUUUCCU
rnacentral:rRNA from 1 species